CCCACACCCUCGCCAGUCGACUCAGCACUGAGCUGCGUCUUCAAAGAGACUCCUGGGCCUGGCCUCUUCCUCAUCAGCUUCUUCCAGAGCCACCCUCGCCCGCGGCGCUCACUGCAGUCCCUGAGUGCUCCGGAGUCCUCCCAUCCCGGGCCUUCACAGGGCUGUCCCACGUCUCCUGUGGGGCCUUGUCUCCUCCAGGAAGCCCUCCCUGGACCCCCAGACCAGGUUAAGUCCCUGCAUGGCUUUGCCAAGCGGUGCCAUGUCUGCACCCGGGAUCUGAACCAGCGAACCCUGGGCCGCUGAAGCAGAACAUGAGAACUUAACCACUGUGCCACCGGGCCGGCCCCCCAUGUCUACCUUAAAACCUGUGCUGUGGGACCGUCUCCUGCCCUCCUCUCCAUUCCUUGGAUUCCAUUUGUGGCUCAAAGAUGACUUGAAUCCUGGUGGAGUUGCAAAGACUCACAGCCUCCUCCUACACCUGUAAAAAGAGGAUGUAAGAGGAGUGUUCUCCUUGAUCCACCUGUAUCAGGAGAGAGGAAAACCGUAACAUGUGACGGGAAAUUCAGCACAGCAGAGAGCAGCCCCACCGUCAACCUCCUGAGCCCUUGGAAAUGCGCGGAAGCCCCCUUCAGACCUCCGCUGCAGUCUCCAUCUGCUAGCGCAUUCUCAUUAAUUAAACUUGCUUUCUCUCAAGCAUCAGCGCUUAUAACAAAUACAGAUAAGGUUUCAGAUCCAAAAUCUUUUUUCUCUAUCAUCCAUGAUUGUAAGUUUUGCUUUCUAUUUUUCAUUGCAAAUAUCCAAGCGUUUCCACUAUAUUAUGGAUUAAACAAAAAUUUUGUAGGCUAGCUUGGGAACUUUACAAUGAAAAAUUCUUCCUCACCUCUCCCCAAGUGGGUAAAAAUGUGCUGAGUUUGAGACUGAUUUACAAAUGAGGGUUUGGAGCAUAACCUGUCUAGAAGCUAUUGGGCAUACGUAACCACAAAAUUGUGUAUCUGUGAAUUUGUUCACCCCAAAGGGAAUUUUGCCUUUCCUUCUUCCCUUCCUUCUUCCCUCCUCCCUCCCUCCCUCCCUU
rnacentral:lncRNA from 1 species